rnacentral:rRNA from 1 species
CGAACGGGUGAGUAACGCGUGAGAACCUGCCCUCGAAGUGGGGGACAACAGUUGGAAACGACUGCUAAUACCGCAUAAGCCCACGGGUCGGCAUCGACCUGAGGGAAAAGGAGCAAUCCGCUUUGAGAUGGCCUCGCGUCCGAUUAGCUAGUUGGUGAGGUAAUGGCCCACCAAGGCGACGAUCGGUAGCCGGACUGAGAGGUUGAACGGCCACAUUGGGACUGAGACACGGCCCAG